AUGUUCCCGCAGCUCAAGCAUCUGCAGAUAAUAUUGACUGUAUAUCAUAAAGAUGACGACAAGAUUCUCUACUUGGUUUCCCUUUUGAGGGCUGCUCCGUUUAUUGAACACUUGGAAGUACAUGUGAGUAUUUUCUUGUCGGAUGGGCCUUCGAGACAAGACAUUCCACAAUCCGAACACAAAUACCUACACCUGAAGAAUAUGCAUGUCACAGGAUUCAAAGCCACGAAAGGCCAGCUUCAACUCAUGUUUCAUGUCGUGGAAAACGCCCCUGCGAUAGAGACUGUGACCGUAGAUACAAUUCAAAGACGGUAUGAUCUGUUGGAUCCAGAUGAGAUUCUCCCGGCACUCCGCAGCUCGGCCCUUGAUAUUGUCAAGGAUCCUCUCUCUAAGAGACUUCCACCAGAUGCCAAGCUCUACCUUCUGUAA
rnacentral:rRNA from 1 species